rnacentral:rRNA from 1 species
UAUUUCCUUUCUCCUGAUUGGAAAUGGAAAGACGGUUUCGGCUGUCACUUACAGAUGGGCCCGCGGUGCAUUAGCUAGUUGGUGGGGUAAUGGCCCACCAAGGCGACGAUGCAUAGCCGACCUGAGAGGGUGAUCGGCCACACUGGGACUGAGACACGGCCCAGACUCCUACGGGAGGCAGCAGUAGGGAAUCUUCCGCAAUGGACGAAAGUCUGACGGAGCAACGCCGCGUGAGCGAUGAAGGCCUUCGGGUCGUAAAGCUCUGUUGUUAGGGAAGAACAAGUACGAGAGUAACUGCUCGUACCUUGACGGUACCUAACCAGAAAGCCCCGGCUAACUACGUGCCAGCAGCCGCGGUAAUACGUAGGGGGCAAGCGUUGUCCGGAAUUAUUGGGCGUAAAGGGCUCGUAGGCGGUUUCUUAAGUCUGAUGUGAAAGCCCACAGCUCAACUGUGGAGGGUCAUUGGAAACUGGGGAACUUGAGUGCAGAAGAGGAGAGUGGAAUUCCACGUGUAGCGGUGAAAUGCGUAGAUAUGUGGAGGAACACCAGUGGCGAAAGCGACUCUCUGGUCUGUAACUGACGCU